UCCGAGUUGACCCCGGCAGUCUCCCACGAGUCCCCGGCAUAACCCGCUGGCAACAUGGGAUAAGGGUUGCGCUCGUUGCGGGACUUAACCCAACAUCUCACGACACGAGCUGACGACAACCAUGCACCACCUGUGCACGACCCUAUAAAGGACCUGCCAUCUCUGACAGAUUUCCGUGCAUGUCAAGCCUAGGUAAGGUUCUUCGCGUUGCAUCGAAUUAAGCAACAUGCUCCGCCGCUUGUGCGGGCCCCCGUCAAUUCCUUUGAGUUUUAGCCUUGCGGCCGUACUCCCCAGGCGGGGCACUUAAUGCGUUAGCUACGGCACGGAACCCGUCGAUAGGGUCCCACACCUAGUGCCCAACGUUUAUGGCGUGGACUAC
rnacentral:misc_RNA from 1 species